rnacentral:rRNA from 1 species
GGCGACCNCAGGUCAGGCGGGG